rnacentral:rRNA from 1 species
GAGUUUGAUCAUGGCUCAGAUUGAACGCUGGCGGCAGGCCUAACACAUGCAAGUCGAACGGUAACAGGAAGAAGCUUGCUUCUUUGCUGACGAGUGGCGGACGGGGGAGUAAUGUCUGGGAAACUGCCUGAUGGAGGGGGAUAACUACUGGAAACGGUAGCUAAUACCGCAUAACGUCGCAAGACCAAAGAGGGGGACCUUCGGGCCUCUUGCCAUCGGAUGUGCCCAGAUGGGAUUAGCUUGUUGGUGGGGUAACGGCUCACCAAGGCGACGAUCCCUAGCUGGUCUGAGAGGAUGACCAGCCACACUGGAACUGAGACACGGUCCAGACUCCUACGGGAGGCAGCAGUGGGGAAUAUUGCACAAUGGGCGCAAGCCUGAUGCAGCCAUGCCGCGUGUAUGAAGAAGGCCUUCGGGUUGUAAAGUACUUUCAGCGGGGAGGAAGGGAGUAA